CAAUAGGAUUGAAGAAAUGGCGGAAAAAGGAUUCCGCCUCUGGAGAUAAACCUUGAUUGGCAAGUCAGAUAACCAAUCAAGAACACCAGUUUGUACCCCUUGGGAGGCACCGAGCUCCGUCGUCUCGUUUCCGGCGGUCGCGCGCUCUUUUCUCGGGACGGUAGAGGCCGUGUAGCGUCGCCGUUACUCUGAGGAGAGAACAGUCGGUAGAGGCACCAACUGAAUGCAGAAAUACGGAUAGUGGUUGCCAGCAGGAACAUGUGCUGUGUACACAAUCUCAUUUAGUCCUUAAAAUAACCAGCCCUGUGAAGUUGCUGUUGUUACCCCCUCCUUACAGAAACAUGAUUUCCCUUUUUUUUAGAGGAAAAAAUGCUGCACCAUGGUACUGAGCUAGUGUUUUCACAUAUUUAUGAAUCCUCAUAGCCAUCUUGAGAGGGUGCAAAAAUGCAGAGCAAUAAAACCUUUAACCUGGAGAAGCAAAACCAUACUCCAAGGAAGCAUCAUCAGCAUCACCACCAGCAGCACCACCAGCAGCAACAGCAGCAGCCACCACCGCCACCAAUACCUGCAAAUGGGCAACAAGCCAGCAGCCAAAAUGAAGGCUUGACUAUUGACCUGAAGAAUUUUAGGAAACCAGGAGAGAAGACCUUCACCCAACGUAGCCGGCUCUUUGUGGGCAAUCUUCCUCCUGACAUCACUGAGGAGGAGAUGAGGAAACUAUUUGAGAAAUAUGGGAAGGCAGGCGAAGUCUUCAUUCAUAAGGAUAAGGGCUUUGGCUUUAUCCGCUUGG